rnacentral:tRNA from 1 species
GGAUGAUAUGGUAAGAGUCGGUAAGUUAUUCCCUAUGGUCUCCGGAACCAAAGGUCGGGCGUUCGAGUCGCCCAUCGCCCGCCA